CCGCCGACUCCUCGGGCUUUCUCCUUCUCGCCGACGCCCUCUUUCAAGCCCUAACCUCUCAGCCUCUCGUCCCCUCUCCUCCCGUCUUCAGCCCUCUUCUUCCCCCGUCUCCAGAUGCCCCUUGUUGGCCCUCCACAUUUUCCCAGUCCCAGCCUCUCCACCCCGUCCUUUCUGUUUCUCCUUCUGCAGUUGGAGCGGGAGCCAGGCUCUCCUUUCCAUGUUGCCACCUUUGUCUGCUCCCUCCACCAGUCAGUCCCUCAGGGAUCUCGGUCAUCACCAGUUUUCAUCUCCUUUUCCUUCUUCUGGGGUCUGUGAACUGUAGUCUGAGGCAGAGAUGUCGAAAGCCCCCUUGGGGUGUGGUAUCUUUGAGUCGGCUCCUUUCUCCGUUAGUCUUAAGAUACUGGGCUUCAGAUAAGCUUAAAAUCACAGGAAAAGGCAGGGAAGUUUCUUAAGAAGAGAGUGGAAAAGCAACAGCCAGAGGAAAAGAAAAAGUCGAUAAGGGUUUAGAGGAAGGUCUGUGUCAGAAAGCGGGCAGAAUGGCCGGCAGAGAGACCAGAUCUCUCAGUUCACUCUGAAACGACUAAAAGACACGGAGAGAAACUUGUUCUUUUUGAAAUGCACCGAGGAGGGUUGGAGUGAAGUAGACCCUGAGUGUCUCCACCCUUUCAACUCACCCUGCCUCUGAAUUAGCCAGGCAGUAUAUUUGGUUUCCCUAAACAUAAAACAACCACCACCACGAUAACAGACUCUCCUCCUCACCCUAAAUGUUAGAUACCAGCUUCCUCGUAAGAGGAGAGAACACUAUAGCAAACCAUUUCAUGUCCCAGCCCUAUCCCCCGUCACACAUAAACAUCACACAUAAACAGCUCACGCUAGGAAUGGCCAUCAAAAAUGGGUAUUUUUCCUAGUUAAUCUUUCUUAAGGUGCUAAGUGCAUGGCACUAUGCAUGAAAUGGGGGACGAACAUUAAAACAAGUAUAAGACAUGGUGCUUGCUUUCUAGUGUAGGUAGAGAUUACUGUUCAGUAGGAUUUACAGUUCAGUGGGAGAAAUUAGACAUGCGGCUUAAGCAGUAAUCUUAGCUUCAACGUUGAAUCGUCCAAAUGAAAGAUAAUGGGUUGUCAGCCGCAAAGAAAUAAAGUCCAGAUUGUUGCGAGAGGGCUGUUUAUAGUGAUCAUAGAGUACUGUUGUAAAGUCAAUCAGUUAGCCAGGCAUAACCAUAUAGAUUGAAUCACAUAAUGCUUUUCAUUUGACUUCCUUUUGAGUUUGCAGGCCUUAGCCUGACUUUUAUGAGGAUCAAUUCCUUUUGUUAAUUUUUAAAACUUUGAAGAAUUUCUCAGCCUCCUGUUAUUUCCUAAUUCUGCAGAGCUGAAGAAUGAAACAAAUAGGGCAAAGGCCUCCGAUGGCUUCUAGGUCAGGGCAGGAAGGCUUGAAUUAUGGAAAACCUGAGGGAUAGUCCUGUCUUAAAAGUUGGCCGACCCCAUAAACCUAUAAAUUGCUAUAGGGCAAUAUUAAUUACAUCUUUUGAUUAAAGGAUAUUAGAAUUAGGCUAAAUUUUUUUAUUACAACAGAGGAAGUGGAGGAGGGUUUAAAGAAAGGUCAAAGGGAAGGAGAGUGCAAUCUUUAUCAUUUUAUUAGAAACUCUAAAAGUUGAGAGGAGGCUGCAACUCCGAGUGGAGGAGGCAGGAACCGGAGCGCGAGCAGUAGCUGGGUGGGCACCAUGGCUGGGAUCACCACCAUCGAGGCGGUGAAGUGCAAGAUCCAGGUUCUGCAGCAGCAGGCAGAUGAUGCAGAGGAGCGAGCUGAGCGCCUCCAACCAGAAGUUGAGAGAGAAAGGCGGGCUCGGGAACAGGCUGAGGCUGAGGUGGCCUCCUUGAAUCGUAGGAUCCAGCUGGUUGAAGAGGAGCUGGACCGUGCUCAGGAGCGGCUGGCCACUGCCCUGCAAAAACUGGAAGAAGCGGAAAAAGCUGCUGAUGAGAGUGAGAGAGGUUAUGAAGGUUAUUGAAAACCGGGCCUUAAAAGAUGAAGAAAAGAUGGAACUCCAGGAAAUCCAACUCAAAGAAGCUAAGCACAUUGCAGAAGAGGCAGAUAGGAAGUAUGAAGAGGUGGCUCGUAAGUUGGUGAUCAUUGAAGGAGACUUGGAACGCACAGAGGAACGAGCUGAGCUGGCAGAGUCCCGUUGCCGAGAGAUGGAUGAGCAGAUUAGACUGAUGGACCAGAACCUGAAGUGUCUGAGUGCUGCUGAAGAAGAGUACUCUCAAAAAGAAGACAAAUAUGAGGAAGAGAUCAAGAUUCUUACUGAUAAAACUCAAGGAGGCAGAGACCCUUGCUGAGUUUGCUGAGAGAUCGGUAGCCAAGCUGGAAAAGACAAUUGAUGACUUGGAAGAUAAACUGAAAUGCACCAAAGAGGAGCACCUCUGUACACAAAGGAUGCUGGACCAGACUCUGCUUGACCUGAAUGAGAUGCAGAACGCCCCAGUCCCACCCUGCUGCUGCUCCUCCCUCUGACCCAGACUCCGCCUGAGGCCAGCCUGCCCGAAGCUGACCUUUAACUGAGGGCUGAUCUUUAACUGGAAGGCUGCUUUCUCCUUUCGCCGCCCCCUCCUUCCCUGUGUCUUUUUCGCCAAACUGUCUCUGCCUCUUCCCGGACAUUCCAGCUGGGCUAGAGGGUGAGCACCUUUGGAAACAACAUUUAAGGGAAUGUGAGCACAAUGCAUAAUGUCUUUAAAAAGCAUGUUGUGAUGUACACAUUUUGUAAUUACCUUUUUGUUGUUUUGUAGCAAACAUUUGUAAAACAUUCCAAAUAAUUCCACAGCCCUGAAGCAGCAAUCGAAUCCCUUUCUCACUUUUGGAAGGUGACUUUUCACCUUAGUGCAUAUUCCCUUCUCCAUAGAGGAGAGGAAAAGGUAUAGGCCUGCCUUACUGAGAGCCAAACAGAGCCCAGGGAGACUCCACUAUGGGAAACCUCAUUGCUCUGUACAAAGUACAAGCUAAACCAGAAAGGUGAUUCCAGGAGGAGUUAGCCAAACAACAAAAACAAAAGAAUGUGCUGUUCAAGUUUUCAGCUUUAAGAUGUCUUUGGAUAAUGUUAUUUCUAUUUUUAUUUUUUUUCAUUAGAAGUGACCAAAUUAAGAUGGUAAGACCUCUGAGACCAAAAUUUUGUCCCAUCUCUACCCCCUCCCAACUCUAACAGAAUGGAUCAUGUCCCCCUUACGUUGAGUUGACCACUUAAUUGCUUUCCUGCCUCCUUGAAAGAAAGAAAGAAGAUUGUGUUUUUGCCACUGAUUUAGCCAUGUGAAACUCAUCUCAUUACCCUUUUCUGGGUUUGAAGCUGCUGUCCCUAGAAGUGCCAUCUCAUUGUGCUUUGUAUCAGUCAGUGCUGGAGAAAUCUUGAAUAGCUUAUGUACAAAACUUUUUAAAUUUUAUAUUAUUUUGAAACUUUGCUUCUUUGGGUUUGUGGCACCCUGGCCACCCCAUCUGGCUGUGACAGCCUCUGCAGUCUGUGGGCUGGCAGUUUGUUGAUCUUUUAAAAUUUCUUUCCCUACCCAGUCCCCAUUUUCUGGUAAGGUUUCUAGGAGGUCUGUUUAGGUGUACAUUCUGCAGCUUAUUGGCUUAAAAUGUUACUCUCUGAUGUGGUCUCCUUGGGGCCGAUUGGGAGAAAGAAAUCAAUAGUGCAACUGUUUUGAUACUGAAUAUUGACAAGUGUCUUUUUGAAAUAAAGAACCAGUCCCUCCAA